AAAUCUGUUGAGAAAGGUGUGGGAUGUCCUAAACUGCGGGAGUGAGGGGAUAUUCCCAGUUUGCCAGGAGAAUUUAUUUUGUUAAUCAUCUCCCCAUCUCCACAACAGAUGGGUCCUGCUGCUCUGGUUCCUGUGCCUUGACCCCCAACCUCUGUUACCCUGUGAGUACUUCCUACACCAAAUUCUCCAUCCCCAGUCCCAGCUACACCCCUCACCAGAAUCCUCCUCCCCAUCAUCCUGCCAGUUCAUGACAAGCAGCAGCUGAACUUGACUGCCUUGUGAUUCCAUUUCGAGGAAAGACCGGAAAAGAAACUUUCAUUCACAUUUGUUAUUGGAAUGCCUAUAGUCAAUUUUGUGUAACUGCAGAUUCAUUGUUUCAGAAAAAUAAAUUAAGGGGCUUAACCUAGGGUGGUCACAUUUAAUAAUUACUUUGAAGAGUGGAUUUCAGCAAGUGUAGCUUGUGUGAAGAGUGCAUGC
rnacentral:lncRNA from 1 species